rnacentral:piRNA from 1 species
AAACCCUGAAAGAGUUGUGCGUCG